rnacentral:rRNA from 1 species
AUCCUGGCUCAGGAUGAACGCUGGCGGCAUGCCUAAUACAUGCAAGUCGAACGAGAGGAAGGAAAGCUUGCUUUUCUGAAUCUAGUGGCGAACGGGUGAGUAACACGUAGGUAACCUGCCCAUGUGCCCGGGAUAACUUCUGGAAACGGAUGCUAAAACCGGAUAGGUAGCAGACAAGCAUUUGACUGCUAUUAAAGUGGCUAAGGCCAUGAACAUGGAUGGACCUGCGGUGCAUUAGCUAGUUGGUGAGGUAACGGCCCACCAAGGCGACGAUGCAUAGCCGGCCUGAGAGGGCGGACGGCCACAUUGGGACUGAGACACGGCCCAAACUCCUACGGGAGGCAGCAGUAGGGAAUUUUCGUCAAUGGGGGGAACCCUGAACGAGCAAUGCCGCGUGAGUGAAGAAGGUCUUCGGAUCGUAAAGCUCUGUUGUAAGAGAAAAACGACAUUCAUAGGGAAUGAUGAGUGAGUGAUGGUAUCUUACCAGAAAGUCACGGCUAACUACGUGCCAGCAGCCGCGGUAAUACGUAGGUGGCGAGCGUUAUCCGGAAUGAUUGGGCGUAAAGGGUGCGUAGGUGGCAGAACAAGUCUGGAGUAAAAGGUAUGGGCUCAACCCGUACUGGCUCUGGAAACUGUUCAGCUAGAGAACAGAAGAGGACGGCGGAACUCCAUGUGUAGCGGUAAAAUGCGUAGAUAUAUGGAAGAACACCGGUGGCGAAGGCGGCCGUCUGGUCUGUUGCUGACACUGAAGCACGAAAGCGUGGGGAGCAAAUAGGAUUAGAUACCCUAGUAGUCCACGCCGUAAACGAUGAGAACUAGGUGUUGGGGGAAUAACUCAGUGCCGCAGUUAACGCAAUAAGUUCUCCGCCUGGGGAGUAUGCACGCAAGUGUGAAACUCAAAGGAAUUGACGGGGGCCCGCACAAGCGGUGGAGUAUGUGGUUUAAUUCGAAGCAACGCGAAGAACCUUACCAGGCCUUGACAUCCCUUGCAGAGGUAUAGAGAUAUAUCCGAGGUUAUCAAGGAGACAGGUGGUGCAUGGUUGUCGUCAGCUCGUGUCGUGAGAUGUUGGGUUAAGU